rnacentral:rRNA from 1 species
CCAGCGGUAAACGAUGAAUGCUAGGUGUGGGUGUCGAUGGGCAUCCGUGCCGGAGCUAACGCGAUAAGCAUUCCGCCUGGGGAGUACGGUCGCAAGACUGAAACUCAAAGGAAUUGACGGGGGCCCGCACAAGCGGUGGAGCACGUGGUUUAAUUCGAUGCAAACCGAAGAACCUUACCUGGGUUUGACAUGCACGUGGUACGGAACUGAAAGGGGAAGGACCCUGGGGCAACCCAGGGAGCGUGCACAGGUGC